rnacentral:misc_RNA from 1 species
GUGAAUCAUCGAAUCUUUGAACGCAAAUUGCACUCUCCUCGGAGAGUAUGCCUGUUUGAGGGUCAGCCUAUAAAAAAUCGACAUCGUUGCUGUUUCACGGUGACGUUCGUCGGAAAUUGGGUCAUCUUAAAUCCUUUUGGUUUUAAGCGACUUAAAAUUUUCUUUUUGGUUCCAUGAACGUUUCUAAGAUUUAUUUCUUUACCCUUUUAGGGUUUUGUUUUUUUUUUGACCUGACCCUUCA